GUGUGAGAGUGGAAAGUUCACACUGUGACUGUAGCUUACCAGAAAGGGACGGCUAACUACGUGCCAGCAGCCGCGGUAAUACGUAGGUCCCGAGCGUAGUCGGAUUUAUUGGGCGUAAAGCGAGCGCAGGCGGUUUGAUAAGUCUGAAGUUAAAGGCUGUGGCUCAACCAUAGUUCGCUUUGGAAACUGUCAAACUUGAGUGCAGAAGGGGAGAGUGGAAUUCCAUGUGUAGCGGUGAAAUGCGUAGAUAUAUGGAGGAACACCGGUGGCGAAAGCGGCUCUCUGGUCUGUAACUGACGCUGAGGCUCGAAAGCGUGGGGAGCGAACAGGAUUAGAUACCCUGGUAGUCCACGCCGUAAACGAUGAGUGCUAGGUGUUGGAUCCUUUCCGGGAUUCAGUGCCGCAGCUAACGCAUUAAGCACUCCGCCUGGGGAGUACGACCGCAAGGUUGAAACUCAAAGGAAUUGACGGGGGCCCGCACAAGCGGUGGAGCAUGUGGUUUAAUUCGAAGCAACGCGAAGAACCUUACCAGGUCUUGACAUCCCGAUGCUAUUUCUAGAGAUAGAAAGUUACUUCGGUACAUCGGUGACAGGUGGUGCAUGGUUGUCGUCAGCUCGUGUCGUGAGAUGUUGGGUUAAGUCCCGCAACGAGCGCAACCCCUAUUGUUAGUUGCCAUCAUUCAGUUGGGCACUCUAGCGAGACUGCCGGUAAUAAACCGGAGGAAGGUGGGGAUGACGUCAAAUCAUCAUGCCCCUUAUGACCUGGGCUACACACGUGCUACAAUGGUUGGUACAACGAGUUGCGAGUCGGUGACGGCGAGCUAAUCUCUUAAAGCCAAUCUCAGUUCGGAUUGUAGGCUGCAACUCGCCUACAUGAAGUCGGAAUCGCUAGUAAUCGCGGAUCAGCACGCCGCGGUGAAUACGUUCCCGGGCCUUGUAUUACACCGCCCGUCACACCACGAGAGUUUGUAACACCCGAAGUCGGUGAGGUAACCUUUUGGAGCCAGCCGCCUAAGGUGGGACAGAUGAU
rnacentral:rRNA from 1 species